ACCUCCAAUCAGUCAAGAUUACCCGCUGAAUUUAAGCAUAUAACUAAGCGGAGGAAAAGAAACUAACCAGGAUUCCCUCAGUAACGGCGAGUGAAGCGGGAAGAGCUCAGACUGAAAAUCUUCGGAAUUGUAGUCUGGAGAAGCUAAGUCAGCUCAACGUACCGGGCAAAGUCUCUAAGAAAAUUGCACCAUGGAGGGUGAUAGUCCCGUCUAUGCCUGGUAUGGAGAGUGUACGACUGGCUUUCAAUGAGUCGAGUUGCUUGGGAUUGCAGCUCUAAGUGGGUGGUAAAUUCCAUCUAAAGCUAAAUAUUGGUGGGAGACCGAUAGCGAACAAGUACCGUGAGGGAAAGAUGCAAAGAACUUUGAAAAGAGAGUUAAAGAGUACCUGAAAUUGCUGAAAUGGAACCGAUGGGAGGCAGUGUUGGCGUGCGGUCAUUCUUCGUUCCUCGCUCGCGGGGUGCGCGUGAUGCCGUUCGCAAGUCAGGCUUCCUUCGACGAGUGGGAGAGGUCCCAGACCUGUAUGGGCUGGGUUCGCCGUCACUUGUUGGAGGGACUUUGACGAAAUGCCUCUUAUCAACCCGUCUUGAAACACGGACCAAGGAGUCUAAC
rnacentral:rRNA from 1 species